rnacentral:rRNA from 1 species
UACGUAGGGUGCGAGCGUUGUCCGGAAUUAUUGGGCGUAAAGAGCUCGUAGGUGGCGGGUCACGUCGGGUGUGAAAGCCCGGGGCUUAACUCCGGGUCUGCAUUCGAUACGGGUCUGCUGGGGUCCGGCAGGGGAGACUGGAAUUCCUGGUGUAGCGGUGAAAUGCGCAGAUAUCAGGAGGAACACCGGUGGCGAAGGCGGGUCUCUGGGCCGGUACCGACGCUGAGGAGCGAAAGCCAGGGGAGCGAACGGG